AUGGCGGGGCCGGGCCCGGGGCGCCCGGAACGCCCGCACCGCCCCGGGGGCUUCGGUCCGGCCCGGACGGACCCGGGGAUGCGAGCCCCGCCUGCUGAGGGGCGCGGCGCAGGGAACAGGGCCCGCGCCUCGGGAACUGCGCAGACUCGCGGGGUUCGGGGAGACCGAGGACGGGGCGCGGUCCGGCCCGCGCCGCUCAGGGCAGCUUCAAAACGGGCGCGUCCCAAACAACGGCGCCCGCGUUCACGUCACUGCGCCGCGUCAUCGCGACGACGUCAUCACCGGGCGACGCCGCCGCUGGCCCCGCGCGCGCACCGCGGCCCUCGGAGCCUUUGCAGGAGGCUUUGGUGGGGCCAAGCGGCUGUCAGGACGGAGGAGGGCUGUGGCGGCCGUCCCGCCCGAGCCCUUUCUGCGUUUAGGAAUUUAAGAGCAAUUAACCAUCCGAGCACCCCAGGUGGCGUGGACUCACGCGGCUCUUCAACCAAAUACCUGCUUCUGGAGUUGCCCUGACUGACCGUCUGAAAUUCAUGAUAAAAAAUGGAUGAAGGCCUGGUUUUCACAUUGUGGCCAAUGAAUGCUGUCCCAGUCUUGUUCUCCUGUCCGUUUACCGCGGUACGUAACACGGGCAGAACCUAAAAUUCACCUUUUGCGACAUUUUUUGUUUGUUUGUUUGUUUCUUUGUUUUUGAGAUGGAGUCUCGCUCUGUGGCCCAGGCUGGAGUGCAGUGGCUGGAUCUCAGCUCACCGCAACCUCUGCCUCCCGGGUUCACGCCAUUCUCCUGCCUCAGCCUCCUGAGUAGCUGGGACUACAGGCGCCGCCACCUCGCCCGGCUAGUUUUUUGUAUUUUCAGUAGAGACGGGGUUUCACCAUGUUAGCCAGGCUGGUCUCGAUCUCCUGACUUCCUGAUCCACCCACCUCAGCCUCCCAAAGUGCUGGGAUUACAGGCGUGAGCCGCUGCGCCCGGCCAAGAAUUAGUAUUAUGUUUAGCGCAAAAUUAGAAAUGCCUAUAUAUAUAUUUUAUAUAUGUUAGAAUAAAUUAUUAAUUUAUUAUUAUAAAUUAUUAAUUAAUAAUUUUAAUUAGGACACUCCCAAGUCUCAGUCUGUUUAGUAAAUACUUUUGUUUUCUUUUUUUAAGACUUGAGUUUCACUCUCGUUACCCAGGCUGGAGUACAGUGGUGUGAUCUCGGCUCACCUCAACCUCCGCCUCCCGGGUUCAAGCGAUUCUCCUGCCUCAGCCUCCCGAGUAGCUGGGAUGACAGGUGCCUGCCACCACACCUGGCUAAUUUUUGUGUUUUUAGUAGACACAGGGUUUCGCCGUCUCUACCAGACGCGAGGCUGGUCUUGAACUCCCGACCUCAAGCAAUCCACCCGCCUCGGCUUCCCAAAGUGCUGGGAUUCCAAAGGGUGUGUGAGCCCCCCGCACCCAGCCUAGCGUGUUCCUGUAACCGUAACAUCUCCGGGCGAGGAUCUCUGACAACGGGUCCGCCCGGACAGCACGUGGCCUGAUCUGAAGCCGGGCUGGAGACACGGUCUGGACCCCACGCUCCUGCCCAGGGCCGCCUCCAGCAGGAUCCCGCCCCUGGGAGCCGUGCAAACAUCAUAAAUCCUGCUAAUUGCCACGUUCCCCGCGGCCGGAAUCCGUGGUCUGUCUACAGUGGCCUCACAGUCUCCAGUCAAGAGUUUCAAUCUUCGCUUCUGGACAAAUAUUGCGGCGUCCGGCACAGCC
rnacentral:lncRNA from 1 species